AAAAAGGGUACUCGCCACUUGCAUGGCGGGUCGGCUCGCUGCGCUCUCCCACAAAGAGGGCCUUCGUCCGAUCGGGUAUGGCCAUCAAGACAUACUCAGUACAUAAUUUUUGGAAACCGGGGACUGUCGGCUGCCAAUAUGCACCACAUGGCGUCCCCA